CGGCGAGGGCUCUGCUGCAAAGUUACAAAUUGCCCGAACCUCCCUCAACCUCGGAGAUUUAAAGCCCCACCAUAAGCUGCCUGGCCAGUCCCAUCUUCCAGAGCUCUAGUCAUGGGACUGGUUCAUUGUUUAUCCGGGAGCAGCUCCUUUACCCGGGUGCGCCGCGGACCACCAACAUUUUCUCACGGAUCACCCCUGUACCAGAAGAAGUAGGAGGUCCUAGAGACUGAACAGUCACAGUAGCUUAGGUUUUAGGAUUCCUUUAUUAAAAGAAAGGACAUUUCCAGUGUCCAGCAACAAAUCAACAAACUGGGAGCGAAAGCAAAGAAAUGAUACCACCACCAUCAUCAUCCCAAAUGCAGAGCUGCCGGUCCCAACUGCAGUCACUAAAUGAGGAUUACCUGUGCACAGGACAGGAAGCUACAUCCAGCAGAGCAAAGGGAAACAGAUUGGCUCCAGGCCAGCAAAUAAACAAGGCAAGACUAUUUUUCCUUAUUUAUUCAGCCUAUAUGCAGAAUAUGUAUUAAUCUUUCCUUAUUCAUUCUUUCCUCAUUUAGUCAACCUACAUGCAGAAUAUAGAAUCCAGGGGCGUAGAUUAGAAGUAGGUGAGUGUGGUUUUAAACCGGGAAGAAGAAAUGCCAAUAACCUGUGCUGUGCUGAUGACACUACUCUGAUAGCUGAAAAUGCAAAUAUUCUGUAAGUUCUAGGAAUGGAAGUCAGGGAGCGCAUUAAAAAUGAUUCGCUAUAAAAAAUACCAAACUAAUGAGAAAAGGUACAGCAAGCAGCUUUAGAAGUGACAAAAUAUUGAAGUGGUGGAUACCUCCUGCUUUUUAACUUUGAUAUCAACAGGGAACCAUACUAGUAGUCAAGAAAUACACUGCAGACUAGCACUUGUUAUGGCACAAUGAAGACCUGCUGUGAAAAGAUUCAGAUGCUGUGACGUGCAUACAUCUACAAAUAGUUUUCUUUGUGACAUUCUAUGUAAGUGAAAGUUGAAAGAAUGAAGAAGCAGGACAGGAUGAGUAUUGAUUCUUUCAAACUUUGGUUUUGGAGAAGACUCUGUUGUGACCCAGGCCCCAGCAGGUAGUAGGAAACUCAGUCAGUGUAAAAACAAACAAACUUUAUUCGAACAGCUGAGAAUUACUUCAUUAUCAGCGUAGUUCAACUAAAUGAAAGCAAAUUUCUCCCAACACAAAUUUCUCAGUCCUAUCACCAACCUUGGUCCAAUUAGGUAAACUGCCAAAGGCCUUUCUUGGCAAAAGUUCAGAAGACACCAAUACAAAAUAAAUGCAACAAGACGAAGCUAUCAGUGUUGUUUUCCGGCAACACCAUUGCUGGUCUUUUAAGCCUUAUGGGAGGGGCCAAGAGAUGAUUGGCUACUCCCGAGUCGUCCUCUUUGCUUGAGCUGCUCUUGUCUUCUGGCAGCUCUUCUCAUGCAUGCAUUAGGAACAGGCUCCCCCUGUUCCUCUGCCUCACUACUGUCAGUCUCUGGAGUCCACACCUCACUCCCCGAUGGCCCCGGCCCCACCUCAGCCUCCGACACAGAGCCCUCAUCUGUGCCUUCCCCAGCCUCCAGGACUGGCCCAUGCUCUUCCUUAGUCUCAUCGCUGUCCAACUUCGUUGCCAGCUCCGCAGGCUGCUGGCAGACCACAACAGACUCCUGGGAAUAACAUGGAAACAAAUGGACCAUAAAUCGUAUUGAUGUUCUCACUUGAAGCUACAUUUUUUUGCACUGUCUCUCAUACUGGGAAAGAUGGAAAGAAAGAAAGGAAAAAGACAAUCGGCAAGACGGAUGGACUUGAUUACAGCUGUGACAGGUCCACCAUUGGAAGACCUGAAAAGCCAGACUGGGGACAGAUCAUUGUAUGUAAGGUCUAUCGAUAUAGCCGGUAAAAGUUGACACUGAACAAUAAAACAUAAGCCAUCCGUGUAAGCCAA